rnacentral:rRNA from 1 species
GCUCAGAAACUUAAAGGAAUUGACGGGGGCCCGCACAAGCGGUGGAGCAUGUGGUUUAAUUCGAUGAUACGCGAGGAACCUUACCUGGGCUCAAAUGUAUGUUGACGUAUUCUGAAAGGGAUACUUCUUCGGACAAUAUACAAGGUGCUGCAUGGUUGUCGUCAGCUCGUGCCGUGAGGUGUCGGGUUAAGUCCCGUAACGAGCGCAACCCCUAUCAUUAGUUGCCAUCAGGUCAAGCUGGGGACUCUAAUGAAACUGCCUACGCAAGUAGUGAGGAAGGUGGGGAUGACGUCAAAUCAUCAUGCCCCUUAUGAUCUGGGCUACACACGUGCUACAAUGGCCGGUACAACGGGCAGCGAAGGAGCGAUCCGGAGCGAAUCCUAAAAAGCCGGUCCCAGUUCGGAUUGCAGGCUGAAACUCGCCUACAUGAAGUUGGAGUUGCUAGUAAUCGCGAAUCAGAAUGUCGCGGUGAAUGCGUUCCCGGGUCUU